GAGUUUGAUCCUGGCUCAGAACGAACGCUGGCGGCUUGCCUAACACAUGCAAGUCGAACGAGACCUUCGGGUCUAGUGGCGCACGGGUGCGUAACGCGUGGGAAUCUGCCCCUCGGUUCGGAAUAACAGUUAGAAAUGACUGCUAAUACCGGAUAAUGACGAAAGUCCAAAGAUUUAUCGCCGAGGGAUGAGCCCGCGUAGGAUUAGCUAGUUGGUGGGGUAAAGGCCUACCAAGGCGACGAUCCUUAGCUGGUCUGAGAGGAUGAUCAGCCACACUGGGACUGAGACCCGGCCCAGACUCCUACGGGAUGCAGCAGUGGGGAAUAUUGGACAAUGGGCGAAAGCCUGUUCCAGCAAUGCCGCGUGAGUGAUGAAGGCCUUAGGGUCGUAAAGCUCUUUUACCCGGGAUGAUAAUGACAGUACCUGGAGAAUUAGCCCCGGCUAACUCCUUGCCAGCAUCCGCGGUAAUACGGAGGGGGCUAGCGUUGUUCGGAAUUACGGGGCGUAUAGCGCACGUAGGCGGCUAUUCAAGUCAGAGGUGAAAGCCCGGGGCUCAACCCCCGGAACUGCCUUUGAAACUAGGUAGCUAGAAUCCUUGGAGAGGUCAGUGGAAUUUCCGAGUGUAUAGGUGAAAUUCGUAGAUAUUCGGAAGAACUCCUCUGUCGAAGGCUACUGACUGGCACAAUUAUUUGACGCUGAGGUGCGAAAGCGUGGGGAGCA
rnacentral:rRNA from 1 species